GUGUGUGUGUGUGUGUGCAUGCGUGCUCGUGUGUCUUCCUCAGUGUUUACAAGUGUGAACAAAAAGACCAUAUGAACACAAUUUUAAAUAAGUCUUUUUUUUACAGCGCUUCUGUGCAUGUGAUGUGUCUCACACACACACAGACACAUGCAAGAGAAUUUAUGCAUGCGAACACACACACAAAGAAGCCUUGCUGUCAAUCAGCGCUCAGUAAGAAGCAGAAUAACAGACAAGCUAUUCUGUCCUAAAUGAGGCCGGGCUCCUGCAAGCGAGAGCACCGUGUGUCACACGCCACGAUACAGGGCGCCCUCUGUCACGCACAAACACGCCACACACGCCCCCCACUGCUCCUCUGCCACAACCCAGCGCUCACAUCUGCAUGUUGAGGCAUAACGUCCAUUCAUACACAUUGCACACAUGCGAUAUCCAUUAGUCAGACAAACGAUUAAAAUAUUUAAUCACGAUUAAUCACAUUUAUGUCAUAGUUAACCCCAAAUUAAUCACAAUUAAUCACACAUUUAUAUCUAUUCUAAAUGUAAUGUAUUUUUUUUCAGAUUUUUUUUUCAUUUGAAUGCUCUUAUCAACAUGGAACAGUGGAUCCACUCGCUUUAUGCAAAGGUUUUAUUUUAUUGAAAAACAACUUUGCCGAACAGGGGGGUGCAAAAUAAAGUGAUAAAGUGCACAUUUCAGGUAAACAAGGACUAGAGUGACUGACUCUGUUAUUCCCAGAAGUCUCCUUUCAGAAGUCUCCUUCCAGAAGCCUCCUUCCAGAGGUCUCCUUCCAGAAGCCUCCUUCCAGAGGCCUCCUUCCAGAAGCCUCCUUCCAGAAGCCUCCUUCCAGAAGUCUCCUUCCAGAGGCCUCCUUCCAGAAGCCUCCUUCCAGAGGCCUCCUUCCAGAAGCCUCCUUCCAGAAGCCUCCUUCCAGAGGCCUCCUUCCAGAAGCCUCCUUCCAGAAGCCUCCUUCCAGAGGUCUCCUUCCAGAAGCCUCCUUCCAGAGGUCUCCUUCCAGAAGCCUCCUUCCAGAGGUCUCCUUCCAGAAGCCUCCUUCCAGAGGCCUCCUUCCAGAAGUCUCCUUCCAGAAGCCUCCUUCCAGAGGCCUCCUCUCUCUCCGAUAUCACCGCCGCGGGAAAUGGAAUUUUUUGACAGGAUCAAAACAAGUUGUAAGCCGUUUGAGUUUCUGACAAAGACAAUGUUCGUGAUUCUGGCGCCUUGAGGAAAGCGACAGCAUCACAAUGAGUCCUCUGUCUGUCCCAAACGUGUCCACACACACACACACACACACACACACACACACACACACACACACACACACACGCAGACACACACAGUGUGUUCUAGCAGGGAGGGUACUGGGAAGCUCUUCAGUUUUAGUGGUUUUCCAGUGGAAUCUGUCUCAUACCUGUGUGUCAGGGCUCAGUGAAGCGCAUGUCUCUGCGUAUCCUGGAGGGGCAUGCGGGGGCCGAGAGGCGGGGCUUAGGACUGUACUCCACUUGUGUGUCUGUGUGUGUCUGUGUGUGUGUGUGUGUGUGUGUGACAGCUCUGGUUUCAUCCAACAGGGACGCAAACAUUCACCUUCAGGAAUCCUUCAGGUUAUUGUUUUUAAAAACAGCUGAGAACUGAGAGAAAAAAGCAGGGAGGAGCUGUCUGUCAUCACACAAGCCCCUCCCCUUCCUCUCUCACACACACACACACUUUAAGCUACGAUAAGCGCUUGGAAACAGUUCAAUCAGUGAGAGAUUUUCUCUACUGAACAAACAGACCCACACCAGCAUGUACAGACAACCCUGAACUCCUCAACUCUCUCCACACACACAUGAACGCACACACACACACACACACACACACACACACACACACUCAUAACAAACAACAAGUUGAUUGAGGACAAAAUCUGGAUCUGAACGUGCGCCUUCUCUUUAUGUUGGAGACUUCACCACCUUUUCAAUGGCUUGCUGACUUGUUUUUAUAUUAUCAGCUCCUCUUCGAUGAGCCGACGCUAGGCGGCUAACAGGAAGCUAGCUCGUCAUCAUUGUUGCGUGAGCUUGAUUAAAUCACUUCACUUGUUCUACGAACUCCAGCAGGAUUUAUGAGUUUGGGUGUGAAGGAAGGGUCACGCGUCUGCGUUGGCAUUUGCAGUGCGCACGCUAGGUGUUAGCAUUCAGGCUAGCUGCUAUGUGCUAGUCUGCAGAGAGAGACGUGGUGGACGUAGGAAGGCGUCUGAUGCUCCUCUCUGGUCCAUGUUUACCGUCUACGAGAGAACAGAAAACAUCUGCUGCCUGGAGACAGGAGGACGGAUCCAUCGAGACAUGGGAGAACCACCGGGGGGGGGGGGGGGGGGGAAUCAACAGAUAA
ensembl:lncRNA